rnacentral:piRNA from 1 species
UAAUUCUUCACAGUCCUUAAA